GUUUCGUUUCCCGUCAUAGCUUGCUUGGACCAUCUUCUUGGUUCUUUCGGUAAAGUCCGUCACGUAGAAGGGAAGUAAUAAAGUAAUACAAAUAAAACAUAGUAAAAAUAAUUCUCACGAUAUUUCGGCCACAACUUAAUUAGCUAAGCUAACGGCGUGUUAAUUAGCUAAGCUAACGGCGUGUUAAUUAGCUAAGCUACUGGGAUCAAUUAAAGCCGCUGUCUCUGCCGCUAAUUGAGAGGUCGGGCCGAGAAGCUUUAGGCGCUAAAAUAGGCCUCAACCGCGAGCCUUCGCUAACGAUUUGUUGAGGCGGCGGCGGCGAUGGCGGCGAUGGAGGUGGCGAUUGAGAUGAUGACCUCUGACAUGAAGAAUUACUUUGGCUACAGGACCAAUGUGGCGACCGCCCACGUCUCCAUCCGCAUGGGCUUCCUGCGCAAGGUCUACGCCAUCCUCUCGGUGCAGAUUCUGCUCACGGUGGCCGUGGCGGUUCUCAUUGAUCGGACCGACAUCGUCGAGGACUUCAUUCAGAAGAACUCGUGGGUGAUGCUCAUCUCCUGCGUGCUGUCCAUGGGGCUGCUGCUUGCCCUCUUCGACAAGCGUCGCGAUCACCCCACCAACCUCAUCCUCCUCUUCGCUUUCACUCUGGUGGAGGCGUUCACGCUGGGGGUUGUGGUGACGUUCUACGACCAGGUCGUGGUGUUCCAGGCGUGCGUCCUCACGGCCGCCGCCUUUGUGGGCCUCACCGUCUACACCCUGCAGACCAAGAGGGACUUUAGCUGCAUGGAGACCGGGCUGUUUGCUGGCCUCUGGAUAUUGAUCAUCGCUGGAUAUCUUGGGCUGUUCCUGCGUUAUCUGCUGGUGGAGCUGGCGCUGGCCGGUAGCGGUGCAUUGCUCUUCUGCGGCUUCGUGGUGUGGGACACCCAGCGGCUGCUGCAUAGCCUCUCCCCCGAGGACUACGUGGAGGGAGCCGUCUCCCUCUACCUCGACCUCAUCAACCUCUUCCUUGACAUCCUGCGCCUGCUGGAGGCCAUUCGGCGCAACUCGUGGGUGAUGCUCAUCUCCUGCGUGCUGUUUAUGGGGUCGCUGCUUGCCCUCUUAGCCAAGCGUCGCGAUGACCCCUCCAACCUCUUCCUCUUCUUCACUUUCACUCUGGUGCAGGCGUUCACACUGGGGGUUUUGGUGACGUUCUACGACCACGCCGUGGUGUUACCGGUGUGCGUCCUCAUGGACGCCGCCUUUGUGGGCCUCAUCAUCUUCACCCUGAAGACCAAGAGAAACCUCAGCCGCAUGGUGACCGGGUUCUAUGCUGGCCUCUGGAUAUUGAUCAUCGCUGGAUUUCUUGGGCUGUUCCUGCGCUAUCUGCUGGUGGCGCUGGCGGUGGCCGGUGCCAGUGCGCUGCGCUACUGUGGCUUCAUGGUGUAGGACGCCCAGCAGCUGCUGCAUCGCCUCUCCCCCGAGGAUUACGUGGAGGGCGCCUCUCACUUUUCCUGGACCUCAUCAACCUCUUCCUCUACAUCCUGCGCUGCUGGAGGCCGUGCGGCGCAAGUGCGCGUGUGACGAGCGGUGGCGACCAUCCCACGCCACCAGAACCGGACACGCACGCACACACACCCACACGCGGCCGCCCCCCCCACCCUCCCUACACCUGGCAGACAAAAACCAGCGCUAAAAGUAUUUGCCUUGCUGGCCAAGGUGGAGACUACGGCGGUGGCCCCCAGCGCCCGGGCAACGCCGGUUGUGGCCUCCCCACCCCAUCCCCCGACUUGAGCGGCGGCAACGUUGCUCUGACAUCGGCCCGACUUGCGAGUCUGCCGGUCGGGCCGGCGUAUGGCCCCAAAAUUUGCUCGAGCGUUGCUAGGCGCCCACCGCCCCGACAUCCGAAGUCGGCCUUCGUCUCCGAAGCGCCGACAGAUCUUCCCCGCCGACUCGAGACCUCUGCGUGGGCGCGCGUGGUGGUGGCGGCGGUGGUGGCGCUGGGGAAUCCGUGCGUGUGCCUGGUUCUUCUUCCACCCCUACUCUGGAAUGCUAUUGCCAAUAAACUGCAACUUGAAUCACUACCUAUGAGAUCUUCACUCAAAACUGCUCUAGAGGAGUUGUACACCCCUAGCUGUCACUGCUAUUCAGUGGCCUAGAUGACCGUUGCAAAGUAUUAGCUAUGUUUUGAUUUAGUGUGCUGAUCUUAAAGGUGCAUUGAAAAUUUUGAUACUCCGACUUAUGCUCCUGAUGUUGUGGAGUGACUCAUGCAGCCAGCUAUGGCUGCAGGGUUUGGUAAUACAUGUUAUUGUCGUUUAUUGUGAAAAUUCGGUCACAGUUCCUAUGAUCACUGUUACAUUGCUUUUAUGGCUUUAUUUUGGUGAUUUCGAAAAGUGUUUUGGUUUGGCCAUGUUUGUUUGUUGUAGUACGGAGUUAGAUUGAUGGCCUUAAUCUAAGUUGUCUUGUGGUUGUUGUUUUUUGACUUGCAUCCCACUGGGAAUUUUGCACACAGCGUUGGUGUACAGUGCUUUUUUUUCUGGAAUUUUUGCUGGUUUUUUUCCUGGAUUUUCAGUUUGCACAUAGUCACUUUAAGAUGUUUUCUUGUUCAUGUUUUUGUUUAUUUUUGUUGCGGUUGCACCCGAUUCAAGAGCCGAAUGGCUCACAGGGCUAUACCUAAUAAAUUAAACUUAAAAACCUUGAAACUUGACAACUAAACGGGGGCUCUGGAUGGGUGCAAGGGGCUGGAAACCCCUCCACUUUCAAUAAAUUACCGCUAAACCACGAAUUAAAUAUGUAACUAAUAAGCUUGUGCCGGAGGCCCCGGGGGGACAGGCGUCUAUGACGUCUCCUGGCCAAACCCCAAUUGGCGGAACCAGGAGAUUGAAUCUUUACCCUCGGGGCUCCUCCAGAAAUAACGAAAAGCCACUUCGUGUGGUCACGUGAAAUGUUCGAACGCUCACUGCGGAGGAGAGGCUGCCACUCCUCUGUCAGGAGCUGGACCGGUACUGCCUGGAUCUCUGUGGCAUUCAGGAGGUCUGGUGGACCAACUCUGGCUCCUGCCACCAUGAGGGGUGGACAGUCCUCUACUCGGGGCAGAAGACUACCAAACAACAGGGUGUGGCUCUUCUUCUGAACAAAAGAAUGAAGGGGGCGUGGGAGCGUGGCGGUGAGGUGUGGGAAGCUGUAAGCCCCAGGCUACUUUGGGCUCGCCUUCCCAUCAACCGGAGGCGAGCAGUGGUGGUCGUGGUUACUUAUGCCCCCACCAAAGACGAACAUUUGUGGAGGGAUGCAGGCAAAGUCGAUGAGUCAGAUGCCUUUUAUGACCUCUUGUCACAGGUGCUGGCUAAAGUAGCCCCUCGGGAUAGAGUCAUCUUGUUGGGUGACUUCAAUGCCCGAGUUGGUCAUGAUGCUGGCACCUGGUCUGGAGUGAUUGGAGGGCAUGGGCCAGAUCAGCUCAAUAACAACAGUAGGAGGCUGCUAGAUUUUUGUGCAGCCCAUGGAAUUGUAAUUACCAACACGCUGUUCCGGCAUCGGCGCAUCCACACAACAUCAUGGAUGCAUGCCGGGUCCAAGCAAGAACAUCUGCUGGACUACAUAGUGACGGACCAGUGGAUGCGAGCCCAUGUCCUUGACACCCAGACCUACCGUGGAGCUGAUCUGCCCUCUGACCAUUGACUAGUCAUCUGUAAGAUGUGCCUGCCAUUCUUCCACUCCGGUGGUGGGUGUACACCCAAGAAAUCAUUCCAACCUAAAGUGGCCUGGUCUCAGCUGAUGAAAGUUGCAAGCGAGAAUUUCAUCAUCGCUUGCAGCUGGGGUUGGCAUCGUCUCCCACUCCUCCUGAUGUCGAGGGUAAAUGGGCGAGGUUUAGGACUGUGACUCAUGCAGCUGCAAUGGCUGAGAACCUGGCUGACAGAGGAGGUGUUCAGGAUCUUAAUUCUAGAUUUAAAGGUUUCGUGACUUCAAGGAUUCAUACUCUUUGGUGGGUGUAUGUGUUCAGGAUAGUUGAGAAAAAGCAACAGGCCCACUCUUAUCGGCUACAGCAUCCCACGUCAGAGAAUGAGGAGGCUUACCUCAGCCUUCGCUCUGAGGUUCGGAGAGCCGUGAGGCGCUGCAAGGAUGGGUGGUGGUCGCGGAUUGCUGAGGAGAUGCAGUUUGCCUCAGUGGCCCACGAUCACAAAUCACUAUUUAACUCCAUCAAAAAAGUAACCUGCAGCGCCACACCUAUUACCAUCAUUAAGGGAAAAAACAGUGAUCCAAUCUCCGACCCCCAGGAACAGAUUUGCAGAUUUGCUGAGCAUUUCUGUGAGGUUCUGGGGGAGGGGAAAUCCCUCAGCCAGGAAAACAUCGUGGCACAAAGUGGGGAUGACCAUGCUGAGGCUGCGGUGCCUCAAAUAUUGGAAGAAGUCACCACCUGUGAGUGGCUGGCUGAGGUGCCAUCUGUUGAGGAAGUACUGAAGGUGAUCCAGAGUCUGAGACCAGGAAAGGCACCGGGCAGAGAUGAUUUCCCAAGCGAAAUGCUGAGGGAGGGUGGCGUUUGUGCACAGACUGCCCUACAUGACAUCAUAACCACAGUCUGGACUACUGGACGGGUACCGCAGAAUUGGAAGGAUGCCCUGGUGGUCCCCCUCUUUAAGAAGGGGGGACCGCACAUACUGUAACAACUACAGGGGCAUCUCACUCCUCAGUGUGCCGGGAAAGGUCCUGGCAAGGAUUAUUCAACAUCGCCUUGCUAGGCACGCUGAGGAGAGGCUUGCGGAGCCCCAAUGUGGUUUCAGGAAAGGGCGUGUUGUAUAUAUAGGCCUUUUUUUCCUAAAAUUAAGAUUAAGAAUAAUUCUGCCAAUAUAUUUUUAAAUAAUCAACUGCGGGGUCGCUUGGAGCACAAACAAAAUGUAACCACCACCCACACCCCACCAACAGCUGCCUUUCAGAAACACAGUGCCGGAGAUAUAGGUAAUAAAAAAAACCCUUGGUACAAAGGAAGGAGAGGGGGAAGCUCUCUAAUGAGAUUCUGGGGAGAUCUCAUCACAACUUCAAAGACCCGCCACCAAACAGGGCGGCGAAUUUUUGUAGGCUAUUUUAGUUAACGAAAAAAAUCCGACAAUUAGCGACCAGAAUAAGAAUAUAACAUAGACUGUCAACGUACUCAACCAGAUUAAAAACCAGACUGCAGCCACAUUGGUGGCCUUAGAGUUACUAAUUACCUGAUUUUACUCUGAUUCACCUCACAUAUGGUUUCUUGUUAGAUCUUGCUAUCUACGUGACCUUACCUAAAACCACGGAAUACAAAUGUCAACAGUCAAGGAAGCUUAAGUGAAAUCUUAGUUACAUCUAACCUCAGGACAUCAAAAAAAUUUACUCGAGUAAAACAGCACAAUCCCUGGAUACAGAUAGAGAACAAAGGUUAAUAAAACCCUAUGAAUAUACGUGGUAAUAACUGCUAAAUCACAAAUCUUGAAUUAACACAAACCAAAUAAUAAUUUUGAAGUAUUAGACCAAGGGUCAUCCAGAAGAAUAAAAGGUGAAAUAAGUCAAUCAUACCUAACCAAGAUGUAAUGUAUUCCAUAGGAAAAGAGCCUCCCAACUGCAUUUGUCUUCCCACAGGACGUGAUAGCAAAGAAUGUAACACCCAGAUGACGCCAAAAAGGCGCACUUGGUCCAACCCUAGGCUCUAAGGAAAGCUGUCUCGGGUGUGGACCAAUCAACUUCAAGGACAGUGCAUAUCAUUAUCAGAGUUAUGUCUUUUGUUUGCAUUAUGACUGCAGGUAUUGCGGUCUAUGCAAACAUGACUCCUUGUAAAAAGGUGUCAGUUUUGUUGCCAGAUAGAAGGGUAAACAACCAAUUAUCACAAUUACGAGUUUUGAGAGUGAAUGCCAGCAGACAUGCAGCUGCAGCUCCAGUUGAACUGAUGAGCGACGAGAGCAAUCGUGCAUCGCCAGAGAGCACGGAGCAGGAGAGAGAGCGCACAACCAGCGCCACCAAGCAAGAGUGUCGGCACCGGCAACCAGCGGACGAGCGACGAGAGCCAUCGUGCAUCGCCAGAGAGAACGAAGCAGUGGAAAGAGCCUGAUCUAGUGCAGCCCUGAAGUAAGGGCGGGUGUCCAUGUGAAGCUGGCACCUGCACGAUCAAAGAGAGAGCACGGAGCAGUGUAAAGAGCCAGACUAGCCGCCCGUGAGCAAGAGUGUCGGCGCCAGCGAGAGCGCCGUGGGUUCGACUCGCACACACCGACAAGCACCAGCUAAGGAGCAGCGAUCAGCAGACGAGCUGCGCGCGCUAUCUGACGACGGAAUGAUCGCGCACCGCCGACGGCGAGCGUCGUGCCGACUCGUCAUCCAGCAUCGGACAAGCAACAUUGUUCCAGCUGCCGCCGAGCGAGAGAGAGAGCAACACGUUGUUUGUAUGCCCCUCCCCCACCCUCACAAGCUCACGACGCAUCGCCCGGCGUCUGCUUAACACAAAUAAUUUAUCAAGGGGACAAUCCACACACACCAUUGCUCCAAGACAUUUCGUUAAUUGUAUAAUCUAGCCGAUGAAUCUAUUGAUGUAUACUUUUGCCUUCGGGAUAUAAUAAUUUGCUUUUUAUUGCCUUUCGUAUGAAUAUCGUUGCAUGUGUAGGAUUCUUACUGACGCGACAACUUCUUUGUCUUUCUCAUUCCUUUUAUUCCGCAUAUAGUUCACAUCUCCGACAGCAUCGCUCAAUGUUCCUCCAUACUCUUCAAUGCACCAUUUCCCAUCAACCCCACUCGACGUCCCUCCGUUCGCUCGUUCCGCUCUGCCGCUUCGCUCGCUCUCUCUCCACCAAGGUCCGUUACUCCGCUGUUUCGCUACGGUGUCCUCGCUCCGUCCUUGCUACUCUGUCCGUACUCUCUAUAUCCACUGCUACCUUAUACUGUAUUCUCUUUGUCCACUGCUACCUUAUACUAUACACUCUUAUCCACUGCUACCUUAUACUAUACUCUCUGUUGCUCCGUCUCUGUCCCAGGCACCGUCUCCAGCUCCGACUCCAACCCUCACAAAAUGACUCCCGUCUCUCCGCUACGCUCUCCCUUUAUCCCCGAACCAAUUAGUCCAAAUUAGUUGUCAUCCCCCGCUCCUCCCUUCGCCCCCAUGGCCCCCAGCCUCACGUGAUGUCACGUGAUGUUGUUUUCCGUAGACACUUACCCUCUUGACCAAUCACCGGCCUGCGUCCUCAGUUACCCUUAACACCUGUGGCGUCUCUUAAUGACCUCAUCCCUUAAUUGGCGCAACAACAACUGUAUGUCCUCAGUUGCCCCCACUGUCCGUUGCACGCUCGCAUCGCAACCAACCGCGUGGCGCGUGUCAUCUCAGGUCCUACACAUGCAUGUUUUAAGGACUUUCCCCUAUCGCCGUAUAUGCUCGCGUUACUCGGUGGAAUUAAUCAAUUGUUCGGUUGUCCAGUUUGACAACGUAACCAUUGAUGGUUAAAUGUACGGAUCAAUGAGGGGAAUUUCCCCAGUAGAACUGUGUUGAUAAUUCCAAGCACAAGAGUUCGCAUAUUAGAGUGUUAUGUUUUUGUUUAGAAAUUAAAAUUGCUUAACACAGUCUGAGUGGUUCCUUCCUGAGUUCAUGCAUAAUAAUCUCAAUUAUGAGAACUGUAUCCUGCGGUGAGAGUUGAAUUCGGAGACCUGAUAAGCACAUUAAGACUUAAUCCGUAAAUGUUAAAGCGAGAAUAAUUGUAUUAUCCCGAUUGAUAAUACAACCCUAGACAACGAAGCCGAGCUUAAUUUAGCAUAAUUACACCACACUUGGAUAACUUUAUACAACUCAUUGUAUUAUCCCGAUUGAUAAUGACCCUAGACAACGAAGCUAAGCCCAAUUAAAAUAACUGCAUACAUUAGUAUAAUCGCAUACAUUUGCAUAACUCAAUAGGACCACAUCCAUAUUUAGCAUAAUGUAUGCGCAUAAUUACAUAAAUGAGCUUAUUAUCGGAUACUUACACAUUCUACCAAUCUUCAAUUAAUUUUUUUAAAUUAUUUUUCUAAAACCGACAUAUACAACAUAAUGGGGUUGGCUCGUCCGGGAUCUCUCGCAGACAGUUUGUGCAUGAUUUAAGGAAUGAAUCACUGUUGUGUUAACCAGAGUAUUGUGAACUAACAUUGCCUUGUGAUUGUUAACGGGCGUAAAACAAACAAAAAACGCCCUCUGAGGUGAAAUUCCAGAGUAGCUCGAGUCAAACUGACUGCAUUCUGUGAUACAAUUGUUUUUUUAUAUGCACUCUGAAGUGGAAUACCAGAGUAGCUUAUGCCACACAUGAGAUGCUAGUGUAAUAAAAGGACUCAGACAC